GAUGAACGCUGGCGGCGUGCCUAAUACAUGCAAGUCGAGCGAACAGACGAGGAGCUUGCUCCUCUGACGUUAGCGGCGGACGGGUGAGUAACACGUAGAUAACCUACCUAUAAGACUGGGAUAACUUCGGGAAACCGGAGCUAAUACCGGAUAACAUGUUGAACCGCAUGGUUCAACAGUGAAAGACGGUCUUGCUGUCACUUAUAGAUGGAUCCGCGCCGCAUUAGCUAGUUGGUAAGGUAACGGCUUACCAAGGCAACGAUGCGUAGCCGACCUGAGAGGGUGAUCGGCCACACUGGAACUGAGACACGGUCCAGACUCCUACGGGAGGCAGCAGUAGGGAAUCUUCCGCAAUGGGCGAAAGCCUGACGGAGCAACGCCGCGUGAGUGAAGAAGGUCUUCGGAUCGUAAAACUCUGUUAUUAGGGAAGAACAAAUGUGUAAGUAACUAUGCACGUCUUGACGGUACCUAAUCAGAAAGCCACGGCUAACUACGUG
rnacentral:rRNA from 1 species